rnacentral:rRNA from 1 species
AUUGAACGCUGGCGGCAGGCCUAACACAUGCAAGUCGAGCGAGCGUCGGACGGGUGAGAAAUGUAUGGGGACUGCCCGAUAGAGGGGGAUAACUACUGGAAACGGGGGCUAAUACCGCAUACGGUCGGAUAACACAUAUGGGAUUAGCUAGUGGGUAAGGUAAGGGCUUACCUAGGCGACGAUCCCUAGCUGGUCUGAGAGGAGGAUCAGCCACACUGGGACUGAGACACGGCCCAGACUCCUACGGAGGCAGCAGUGGGGAAUAUUGCACAAUGGGCGCAAGCCUGAUGCAGCCAUGCCGCGUGUAUGAAGAAGGCCCUAGGGUUGUAAAGUACUUUCAGUCGGGAGGCGUUACCGACAGAAGAAGCACCGGCUAACUCCGUGCCAGCAGCCGCGGUAAUAC